CCUACGGGUGGCAGCAGUGGGGGAUAUUGCACAAUGGGGGAAACCCUGAUGCAGCGACGCCGCGUGUGGGAAGACGGUCCUCUGGAUUGUAAACCACUGUCCCCAGGGACGAAGAUGACGGUACCUGGGGAGGAAGCUCCGGCUAACUACGUGCCAGCAGCCGCGGUACUACGUAGGGAGCGCGCGUUGUCCGGAUUUACGGGGUGUAAAGGGAGCGUAGGGGGGACUGCAGGUUGGGGGUAAAAUCUACCGGCUCAACCGGUAGCCGCAGUUGAAACUGCAGUUCUUGAGUGAAGUAGAGGCAGGCGGAAUUCGUGGUGUAGCGGUGAAAUGCGUAGAUAUCAGGAGGAACACCGGUGGCGAAGGCGGCCUGCUGGGCUUUUACUGACGCUGAGGCUCGAAAGUGUGGGGAGCAAACAGGAUUAGAUACCCGGGUAGUC
rnacentral:rRNA from 1 species